AAAGUACUCUGAAAAGAGAGUUCACAAGUGCGUGAUACUGCACACUGCAAAGCGAAUGGCUGUGCAUUUCCGGAUGCAAUCUGUGUUUGUCCGCUCGUUUGGCUCAUCGUUGGCACAGGGACCGCAUUCGCUCUCUCUGUAUAAGGGCCACUGCCACCGGGCCUUACGAAGCGCCGUACAUAAGAUUGCAACGUUUGCUGCUGUGUGGGAGGGCGCGAAAUAUAACGUUGCUGGUGGAGAGCUCUUUACUGUUGAUCUCCGAUGCUGGCGACGGCAUUGAUUGAAUUUUUGUCGGAUGACGGAAUGCCUCUUUCAUCGUGCCCACCCUGUUCAGGCAGGUUCGGCGGAAUUUCUGAUGGUUCGUCGCUUUCCCGACUAGUGUGUUUUUGCCUGUGUGCAUGGCGCUGCGGGAAAUGCGGCAACGUCGUUACUAGCCGAGCCAGUCUCGUAAAGCAGUUGCGAAGACGCGCAGCGUUCGAACCGUCUUGAAACACGGACUAAGGAGUUCAACUUGAGCGCGAGUCGUUUUUCAUUGGAUGUUUGAAGGCGAAGUGAAAUCGACUCGUUCGUAAUCAGAGAUGUUAACUGAUCGGAAAGAGAAAUGAAAUGCCGAUGGCAAGCAUACGAGAUGAGUAGCACAAUUAAUUCGGUGUUGACUGCACCUGAGCGUUCAGGUUGAGACCCGAAAGAUGGUGAACUAUGCCAGGGACGAAAAAAGCCAGAAGAAAUUCUGGUGGAAGUUCAUCGCGGUUUUGACGUGCAAAUCAAUCGCAGAACUUUGGUAUAGGGGCGAAAGACUAAUCGAACCAUCUAGUUGCUGGUUCCCUCCGAAGUUUCCCUCAGGAAAGCUGGCGUGAACGCCUUUGUUUCAUCCUGUAAAGCCAAUGACUGGAGGAAACGGAGCUGACACAACUUUGACCUACUCUCAAACUUAAAAUGGGUGAGCGCUUAUAUGCUACUUUCUUGAGCAAUAAGCUGAAAUAACGCACGCCAAGUGGGCCAUUUUUGGUAAGCAGAACUGGCGCUGCGGGAUGAACCGAACGACGAGCUGUGGCGCCCGACACACGUCUCAAGAGAUACCAUGAAAGGCGUUAGUUGAUAUUGACAGCAGGGCGGUUGCCAUGGAAGUCGGAAUCCGCUAAGGAGUGUGUAACGACUCACCUGCCGAAUCAACUAGCCCUGAAAAUGGAUGGCGCUAUUGACAAAGGCCUAUGCUCGACCAAUGAGAUUCUUUGUGCCUCAAUUCUUUUUGGCACUUGUUGCCAAGAGCCCUCAUUGAGUAGGAGGGCGGACUCGCUAACUCUGAAACGGCGGUGUGAAUCAAUGUGAAGUUGGCGAUCGUGCAGAUCUUAGUGGCAGUAGCGAGUAUUCGGAAAAGUCUUUUGAAGACUGAAGUGGAGAGGGGUUCCAUGUGAACAUAAUUUGAACAUGGUUCAGCCGAUCCUAAGAGUGUGUGAAAUUCUGUGAGAUGACGGGGGACAUUUCGAUGUCCCGCUGUUCGAAAGGGAAUCGGGCUAAGCUUCUCGAGCCAGGAUUCGGAUCUUGGCAUGUUUUCUCGGAGACCUGUCUAAAGCGGUAACGCUCGCAAACCCAGAGAGCUCCAUGCGAUUUUCGGGGAGGAGUUCUCUCUUCUUUGUUAGGUAACAUUGCCCUGAAAUUGAUUUGUUCGGAGACAGGGACGAAUUACCGUAUUGUGACGCGGUUCUCGCGUUGCACCGUGUAUAUCGCGUGGUCCAUGAAAAUCUGGGGGCGUAAACAUAUGUCCUGUUCCUGAUCGUACCUCAAUCCGCAUCAGGUCUCCAAGGUGCAUAGCCUGUAGUGGACGGGAUAAAGUAGGCAAGGGAAGUCGGCAAAUUGGAUCCGUACCCUUGGAAAAAGGAUUGGCUGUGAAGACUGAGCUGAUCGAGCUAAUGUUAAGAGGAGUCGAAACGGUUGGGGACUGGUCGAAGGUCCGCCUCUUCGGAGGAUGGCCAGAGAUCGGAUCCCGAUAUUUUUCGUCUUGCUGGCGACUUCAGCUUAUGGUUGCAUGGUACGUAUGUACGGUGCAGACAAUACGGUCGGCUGCGCACAGUCGCAUCAGAACUGGUACGGACAAGGGGAAUCCGACUGUUUAAUUAAAACAAAGCAUUGCGAUAGCCAUCACUGGUGUUGACGCAAUGUGAUUUCUGCCCAGUGCUCAGAAUGUUAACGUGGCGAAAUCUGAACAAGCGCGGGUAAACGGCGGGAGUAACUAUGACUCUCUCGAGGUAGCCAAAUGCCUCGUCAUCUAAUUAGUGACGCGCAUGAAUGGAUCAAUGAGAUUCCCACUGUCCCUGUCUGCAACCCGGCGAAACAACAGCCAAGGGAACGGGCUUGGAACAGGACAGCGGGGAAAGAAGACCCUGUUGAGCUUGACUCUAGUUGGUCUCUGUGAAGAAACGUGAGAGAUGUAGGAUACGUGGGACCCUUGGGGUCUGUGAAAUACCACUGCUUUCAUUGUUACUUCACUCACUCGAUGGUAUUGUUGGCGAUGAUGCUGUUCGUCAGAAAUGUACUUCUUGGUUUGGUGAAUAAGACAGCAACUAUUCGAGAACGUUGACAGAUUGGGAGUUUGACUGGGGCGGUACGCCUGUUAAAAUCUAACGCAGGUGUCCAAAGGUGAUCUCGGCGAGAACGGAAGCCUCGCUUAGCGCGAAAGGGCAAAAGAUUGCUUGAUCUUGAUCUCCAGUUGGGAUAUGGACGAUGAAAGUUUGGCCUAUCGAUCCUUUUCAGUUUUACGGGAUUUGAGCAAGAGGUGUCAGAAAAGUUACCACAGGGAUAACUG
rnacentral:rRNA from 1 species